AGCAGGUUUGAGAACCUGUCUGAAUUUAAUCCAAAUGAUAACACAUUGAUACUCAAUAUUUUGGCGAAUAUACAAGUGUUAGGCCUACAUGUCAAGUCGUCGUGUAUGUCAACCGAACACUUUAUUUAGUAUAGUAUCAAUAACUUUGUGCUGAUGGAGACAAUAGUAAAUAGUUCAUUUAAUGCGGGAGAGACCAUCCACAGCACUGAAAGGUGUUUCUAUGAAACGAUCGUGGCGCAAACGUCUUGGUUUUGCUCUUAAUGUAACACAGUCCAGGAAAUAGGCUUUACUUAGGAGGUAAAGAAGCAAUUUGAGGCUUUGCUUAUCGUCAUUGCUCGAGAGGAAUCAAGCUCUUAGUGCAUUGAAUGCUUGGAGACCGAUGACUAUCCCUAUGUCACAGUGGUUUCGACUCACUCAAUCAUAUGCACUUCAACAUACAGCGCAUGCUGCUUUCGCCUUUGCUUUCGCCUAUUCUUUGGGAGUGCUUGCAGGAUAUGUUUCGAUCACACACUUGCACACAGGGACUGUUGUUGUGAGACUGAUUUUGGAAUGCUGCAUCUGAGACUGAGUGAGGAGUUUCAAUGGAAGGUUUGAUUGGGGGAUUCCGAGACUGCCUGCUGUGUGUUAGAUUUAUCUUCUUACACAUAUAAAUGCUUCCUUUCCAAUUAACACAUCAUGCCUAUUAUUGGCCAUUCAUCUCACAUGAGAGAGAACAAUUGAACACCAUGUUGAUUAUGCAUCUGUCCCACUCCUGGUGAGUCAACAUCUUACCUCCACAGCAGAUCACAAAUACAUUCUUAAAACACUACUUUGAUUAAUACUUACAGUAAUUAUUUGAAUCCCCAUCGGUUGUGGUAUGCUAUAAUAAAAAUAACAUAAAUCGAAUAGAUUUUUUGCCUGCUCUGUGAACCAAUGGUGGCAUUGUUUCUCUGAUUGCUAAGGGAUUAAAGAAGAGAAAUACGAUUAGGGAGAAGUAGCCCUGAGCCACGUGGAUGCAAUCGGGGAUUGGAAAGAGACUCCGUGUGUGUGUGUGUGUGUGUGUGUGUGUGCGCGCGCGCUGGGGCGAGCUCAUUGUCCAGCCCAGAUGUCACUAGCGACUAGCUCACUGGUAUUAUUGAUCCCCUUUUUAUAGACCCACUGCUCAAUAGAAUAAUUACAUUAUAAGCAGACAGUGUGUUGAAUAGGACCGACAUGAUACUGUAAAAAUUACUGUUGGUAAACGCUCGCUAAUAGAAUCAUAUUUUCUCUUUGAUCAGUUACCUUCUUCCAUUGCCUUUUUAUUCAAAUGACAAAGGUCAUCAAAUGAAAUUGAUUCAAUUAGGCCUUUCGCUUUUGAACAUGACUUUUCCGUAAACAAAAGAAAACCUUUUGGUAAAAUGUACCAGUCGAUCAAAUGAUAAUCAUUCAAUCAAUAAUAAGUGGGACUUGAAGGAGGCCAUUGCUCCUGUUUUGUCUACAUUAGCAGGUAAUAUGUCCUCAAUAUAUUUGUUUUACCCUUUGGUAUCUCUCUAUGCAGAUAACCUGUUUUUAUCUAUCAUCCCGUCCGGUGGUGACUGUCUUGACUGCAUCAAACCAAUGUAAAGAAGCUUGCUAAGCUAGCUACCUAGGCUACUUGAAGCUAUUCUGUUGCACUUUCCAUCCUUGUCCACAACAGCUCCAUUCAGAUUAAACAACAGCCUACCUGAUGGUUGCUCAUUGUGGCCUACUCCUUCUCAUUUAACUAACUUAAUUCUGUAAUUUUAACUCCAUUUUGCAUUGAUUAGAGAUCUCUCAUGUUGGUUGCUACACAUGGAGCCACUGACAGUGCCACUUUGAUUUGCCAACAACAGCAACAAACGCGUGAAACCUGUGUAGGUUUCGCAAGUAGUCAAACACUAACAUCCGUUCGGAUAUUCGAAUAACCGUGCCCAUCCCUACCUAACACUACUAGUGCCCUAACACUAUUCCCCCAACACUGUGCCUUCCACUGGCCAUGCCUCUGUGUCUGUCUCUGCUGUGUGACUGAGGCCGUGGCCUUCCUCGCGACCUUGUUCAUAUAUGAUGAGCCACGCGAGUCGCUAAGCCCCAGUGAGCUCUAAACACCCACUGUCAGGCCUGAAGAGAGGAGAGGUGGAGGGUGGGAGGGGUGCAAGGGUGCAGGGGUAAAGGGGAGGAGAGGUGGAGGGAUUGGGGUGAAGGGGUGGAGAGAUGACGACACUUACAAACUUAAUCCAGACUCUGUUCUAAAGGGCAACAAAGUGGGGUGGGGGUUGGGGCAACGAUUCUCAAAGGAGCCUCCUCUGUCCAUGGUUUUGGCCUAUAUCGCACUCAAAUCUCGAGAGGUGACCACAGUUUUUAAUGACAACGCUGGUUUAAAAAUACAUACUACUGUUUUUCUGCCAUGGAAGUGGUGCUUCGAAUUCUUUUGAAUCCCAGUCGGAUACAGAGCUCUUAUACUUGUAAACAAACACGUCAUUUAGCUGAGAUUUAUGUAGAGUGGGACAACUAGCUGGCAUGUUAUUUUUGCUGGUCCAUGAAGUGAACAACAGGAGAUGUGAUCCUGCUGUGAGUGAGGCUGCUUGACGGUGGUUAGUGAAUGUUCUUAUUAGAUGAGAUUAGCACGGCAUCGUAGGCUGGACAGGCUCACACAAAGACCACACCCAACAGUCACAGUCAUACAUACAAAUAGCACAGCAGACUCAUUGAAGCAUAUUUAAAGUGGCUAUAUGGAACUUUGGCCUCUGGGUUGCACUUCAGCCAAAAGGGGUCCCGUAAAAUAGACUGAAAUAUUGUCAAGAAAAUACCUAAUUGGAAUGAAAGUUGCAUACAUUUCCAUACCCGUGAGCCAAAACAUAUAUUGUUUACCCAAAACAAAGGAUAUUUUUGGUCAUCCCUAAUAUUUGUGGAUGACAAAUGUAUUUCAUUUAUUUUAUUUAACCUUUAUUUAACUAGGCAAGUCAGUUAAGAACAAAUUCUUAUUUACAAUGAUGGCCUACCAAAAGGCAAAAGGCCUCCUGCGGGUACGGGGGCCUGGGAUUAACAAUAAAAAAUAAAAACAUUAUAAAUAUAGGACAAAACACACAUCACAACAAGAGAGACAACACAACACUACAUAAAGAGAGACCUAUGACAACAACAUAGCAAGGCAGCAACACAUGGCAACACAGCAUGGUAGCAACACAACAACAACAUGAUAGCAACACAACAUGGUAGCAGCACAAAACAUGGUACAAACAUUAUUGGGCACAGACAACAGCACAAAGGUCAAGAAGGUAGAGACAACAAUACAUCACACAAAGCAGCCUUUGAAUGAAGAGAUUGAGAUAAAACUGUCCAGUUUGUGUUUCGUUGCAGCUCGUUCCAGACGCUAGCUGCAGCGAACUGAAAAGAGGAGCGACCCAGGGAUGUGUGUGCUUUGGGGACCUUUAACAGAAUGUGACUGGCAGAACGGGUGUUGUAUGUGGAGGAUGAGGACUGCAGUAGAUAUCUCAGAUAGGGGGGAGUGAGGUCUAAGAAGGUUUUAUAAAUAAGCAUCAACCAGUGGCUCUUGCGACGGGUAUAAAGAAAUGACCAGUUUACAGAGGAGUAUAGAGUGCAGUGAUGUGUCCUAGAAGGAGCAUUGGUGGCAAAUCUGGUGGCGAAUGGUAAAGAACAUCUAGCCGCUCGAGAGCACCCUUACCUGCCGAUCUAUAAAUGAUGUCUCCAAAAUCUAGCAUGGGUAGGAUGGUCAUCUGAAUCAGGGUUAGUUUGGCAGCUGUGGUGAAAGAGGAGCGAUUACGAUAGAGGAAACCAGGUCUAGAUGUAACUUUAGCCUGCAGCUUUGAUAUGUGCUGAGAGAAGGACAGUGCACUGUCUAGCCAUACUCCCAAGUACCUGUAUGAGGUAAUAACACCUGUGGUAAGAGGGGCAUUAUUCUUACCAAACCACAUGACCUUUGCUUUGGAGGUGUUCAGAACAAGGUUAAGGGUAGAGAAAGCUUGUUGGACACAAAAAAUGCUUUGUUGUAAAGCAUUUAACACAAAAUCCGGGGAGGGGCCAGCUGAGUAUAAGACUGCAUCAUCUGCAUAUAAAUGGAUGAGAGAGCUUCCUACUGCCUGAGCUAUGUUGUUGAUGUAAAUUGAGAAGAGGAUUGGAUCGAGCCUUGGGGUACUCCCUUGGUGACAGACAGUGGCUGAGAGCAGAUUUUCUGACUUUAUACACUGCACUCUUUGAGAGAGGUAAUUAGCAAAUCAGGCCAAAGACCCUUCAGAGACACCAAUACUCCUUAGCAGGCCCACAAUAAUGGAAUUGUCUACCAUAUCAAAAGCUUUGGCCAAGUCAAUAAAAAUAGCAGCACAACAAUGCUUAGAAUCAAGGGCAAUGGUGACAUCAUUGAGGACCUUUAAGGUUGCAGUGACACAUCCAUAACCUGAGCAGAAACCAGAUUGCAUACCCAAGAGAAUACUAUAGACAGAAAAGAAAGCCAGUCAGUUGAUUAUUGCUAAGUUUUUCCAACGCUUUUGAUAAACAGGGCAAAAUAGAAAUAGGCCUAUAACAGUUAGGAUCAGCUUGAUCUCACCAUUUAAAUAAAGGACGAACCGUGGCUGCCUUCCAAGCAAUGGAAACCUCCCCAGAAAGGAGAAACAGGUUAAAACAGUUGGAGAUAGGCGUGGCGAUGAUAUGGGGCAGCAACCUUAAAGAAGAAAGGGUCUAAACCAUCUGACCCAGAUGGGUUUUUGGGGUCAAGUUUAAGGAGCUCCUUUAGCACCUCGGACUCAGUGACUGCCUGCAGGGAGAAACUUUAAAGAAUAACUCGAAAACAAAAUAGAACAGAAGUUAUGUUUCUGCUUUCCACUUAACUUGAAUUCUAUGAUGAUGAUCUAGUUUCUAGAUAAAGACACUGAGUAGAUGUGGGCUUUGAGAGUGGAACAGGAUGGAUGUAGGCCUAGUUAUUGUGCUCUUUGAAGCCUGGUGAUGUUAGAUGUCUGAAUGACUUAGGGAAACAAGCUGGAAAUGUCUCUGGGCUACAGCUAAUCAUUCACCACAGAGGAACUGAUCGUUAGCCACUGAUGUCAACCUA
rnacentral:lncRNA from 13 species